CUCAUGAAAUUGACGGUGGCAAUCAAACGUAUUUCAGAACCUAUUUCAAAAACGUCACAUAAACUUAACUAUUCUUUUGUGCCUCAACCUAUUUCAACCUUCGCACCUCGCUGUCGCAUCUCAACUAUAGUCACCAUCGUCACACCUUGCCGCCACAUCUCAACCAUAACAACCACCGUUACACCUCGCCGUCAUCGCCACCAUCGAAAUCUUAACCUCUUUACGUUGCAUGUCAACAUCGCUGUCAUCGUACUCUCGUCGCCGUCGUAACCUCGUCGCCGUCGUAACCUCGUCGCCGUCGUAACCUCGUCGCCUUCGUAACCUCGUCACCUUCGUAAUCUCAUUGCCGUCUUGCAGAUACUGUGUUUUUCUGAGAUUGGAGUCUAUUCUCAAGUUAAAAGAGGCAAAGAGUUCCGACAUUGUCGCCAUUGCUCCUCGUAUAGAGUCCUUUGGUUUAUACAUGAACUAAUGUGAUCAAAUUAAAAGCCACUGGGAGCUAGGUAUGCAAACAUGCAUAUUCAUAUGGUAUUAAGGGUUUUGAAUUUUCGAUUUGUUGUUGUGUAUGUUUAGGAAAUGAUGUUUCUAACUUGAUUUCAUCUUGUUUAUAUUUAUCCUCAUCGACCAAUUCUUGCAGAUCUUCGAUAGUUGUUUCAUCUUCAAUCACUAAUACUCGCACCUCGUACAACACUUCAACUCCUCAGUUAUCAAUUAUCAUUAUAGUAACUCAGUAAUUCCUAAAAUUACAUGUAUUUAUGUUGAAAUUCGCACACAAUCGUAUCUCGUUGUUUUGGAUCUUUAAUUUUUCUAUUUUUUCGGUAUUACGAAUUUUAAUUAUUUAGUUUAGUCUAAUCAGGAACAUAAAACGUGUUAAAUAUUGGAAGUUGAAUUAUGAUUCUUCUGUGUAAUGCGUAAUUUCAGAUUCAAUGAAAUUCUCUGACCGGCUGCACUGUGAUUGAUGAUUUUGGAGGCAAAUUGGUUGUUCUAACAGAACAAAUUGUUGUUUUCUUGGAGCAUGUUGAGGUGGUUUUAAAGUCAUAGCCUUUACUGCUGAUGAAGUUAUCACUGCUCUUUCUGUUCUCAAGGACUUCAAAUGCACCGCUUCGUUUUUACUAAAUUUGACCAUUCGUCUGUUCCCGUUCCUCCACAGUUUCGAUGCCCCAUCUCAGGUCACAUUACGACUGAUCAUGUUAUCUUGGCCAAUGGACAGAGAUGGCUGAAUGAAGUCCACAAAAUUUGCCCUCAAACUCAGCAUGUCUCCUCUCUCACUCCAUCAUUUCAAUAAUGAUUUUAAUAAUGUGGUGAAAGAUUUUGGGAGCCUCUUCAAUGCAGAGGAUUGUUUGCCAGAUUUGUUCCCCUUGCAAGUUAGGAUAUUUGUUUCAUGGGAAAUCAGUUCACUGGUAGCAAAGAUAAGCCAAAAUGUCUAAUUCAUGAUUUGGUUGUUUUCUUUUUCGAGAUAGUGUUUGGACAGGGUUAAAAAAUGUUUCUUAAAAAAUGUUUGUGAACAUCCUACUUUUUGUUUUAUUUAAACAAUGAUAAAGCUGAGUCCACCAACUUACACUAAACAACACUAAAUGAAAGUAAUAAACAAUGCUCAUGAUUGCUAUAUUCCUUAAUUAAUGUAUUGAUUAUUGACGCUGUAAACUUAUGAUCGACCAUUCAUCCAGAGAUGGCUGAAUGAAGUCCACAAAAUUUGCCCUCAAA